rnacentral:rRNA from 1 species
CAAUAGCGUAUAUUAAAGUUGUUGCAGUUAAAAAGCUCGUAGUUGAAUUUCUGGUGGGCGCGCCGGUCUUCCAAGUGUUGUACUGGGCGCAGUCCGCCAUCCUUGUGGAGAGGGCUCGCAUUGAGUUGCGUGUCGGAUCUGCAUCAUUUACUGUGAAAAAAUUAGGGUGUUUAAAGCAGGCUGUCGCUUGAAUACAUUAGCAUGGAAUAAUAAGAUAGGACUUCGGUCUAUUUUGUUGGUUGCGAACCGAGGUAAUGAUUAAUAGGGAUAGUUGGGGGUAUUCAUAUUUAAUUGUCAGAGGUGAAAUUCUUGGAUUUAUGAAAGAUGAACAACUGCGAAAGCAUUUACCAAGGAUGUUUUCAUUAA